CUUCGCUCACAAAGAAAGAAGGGCGGGCGGUCCCCAAACGGCCAGGGGGCUUGGCAUGCACCCCUGGCAGCAAGCGGGCCUGGUGCCAUCCCUUCUAGGACUCCGGAGCAGUUCUUUCCUCUCUUCCCUUCUUUCAAGAACUGCUCACAAUUAGCACAAUUUAAUAUUUAUUACAUGCAAAGGUUCUGCUUAAGUGCUGCACAGAAUAUUACUGUAGGCCCUGCUUACAUUCAUUAUGAGGAGAGCAGAAAUAAUCUCAAAAUAUAAGCAUCCAGGACGUGACCUUGUUCAAAACUGGAGUGCUCCUCGACGGUCUUUCUGUGGUUUUAAUCGGCCAAGCACUGAUUAUCUUCCAGGCCCGUUCCGUGAGCCCUCGAACAAAGAUGGCUGAACGUCCCGUGCAAGUUGGGGUACAAAUGCGAGGCACCCUCUUGCGCAUCUGCUUUCCAAUACGAUUGACUGCUUCAGCGUCCAGUGAAUUGUUUUUGCAUGCUACGCUUUCAUCUUAAACUGGAUUUCAAAGUGUGUUAGGUAAAAAUUGAAAUGAAGAGAAAGUUAAAACGUUAACAGCGCCAUGCAUUUGAGAGGAUGUUCCAACCUGGAUAAGAAAGAAGAGGACCAGAAAGCUGUAAAGCCCGAGCAGGGAGGCAAGAAUGCAAGCGGGAGAGUCUUACCCGGCGGCGGCACCAGAGUUUGCUUCUGCCACUGAAAGAGCAGCGGCCGAGCGGCAGAAUUUAUAGGCGGCGGUGGCAUCCCCACCCCGGCAGUAUUUAUCAAGCUCACGAAAGUGUGAUCAAAAUCGAGAAUACUGGAUUAAAAGGCAAUGAAAACCAA